rnacentral:lncRNA from 1 species
UGUGAAAUGACUUUGGGAAUGGAGUGGUUCACUGGGGUAAUUAGCGGUAGCACCUCAUGCUGACAGGGAGUGCACGAUCGAGGUAUGUAUUUUCAGCUUGUUAGUCAAGAUGAAGUGGAAUACAUCAUAAUAUUUCUCUGCAUGAACUGUCAGGGACAUAUCUCCACGUCCACUUAAUCCAGUUUAUCCGUAUUCGGUUCCUUAGAUUGCCUACCUGUGUUCGGAUUUACCAUGUAUUAUUUGACUGGAAAAAUUACAUUGUUAAUCGCUUCAGAGAACAAGUGAAAAUGUAGGUUGUAUCCCUCUUUUGUUUGUUAACAAUCUGUUUACGGAGUCACUACUCCAUCAUCACAUAAUACACAUAUGUUAAGGUCAAGAAUUUGUCAUCUAUACUACUGAUCCCUUUUUAGUUAUGCUGAACUUGAGAAAGUGGAUUAUUGGAACAAGUGAAUUAUUUGAAAAGUAAAUUGUCAGUCUGUUACAUGUGGGAAGAGGCCUUUUGGAACAAGUGAAUUAUUUGAAAAUUAAAAUCUUUAAUUUUUUUAAAGUGAAGUUACUCUCCAACUACAAUUCUAUGCAAGCACUGAUCUUUAAAUUGAAGGUGAUUAUUCUUCUUAAGAAGGGAGAACGAUUCACUUUGGUGUAUAUGAUCCUAUGGUAUUUUUUAUUGAUUGCUAUGGUUGUUCGUGUUAUAUCCUCUAACUGACCCAACUUGCCAUUUCAUACUCAUGCUAUUAGAUCGGGUGCUCAUGCAAGAUGGUUAUAUUACUUCUCUUAAGGGUAUGUUACUGUUCAUUUGUGGUUUAGACUUGAACACAUACUUCUGUUUGAAAACAACAAGUGCCAGCCUCUCAUGAUUACGGUAACUAAUUAUCCAUUUAACACAUGCAGACUAUCAGAUACAACCGGAUGCCGCCACUUUGCAGUGUCAGAUUUAUGUUGGUGAGCUGGCCCAUGCUGUUCAUGGAAUGGCUUGAUGUGAAAGGAAAUGGGCCCAUAGGUCGAGAAGAGAAGCUUUCAUUGAGCAUAAGUGUGGUGUUGUUGGAAUUUUUGAUAUUAGUUAGAUCUUCAGAUAGCCUUUGUUUGGAGGUCAGAUAGUCUUACUAUGAGGAUCAAGUAUGAAAUUAUGACAUUCUAUGAGGACUACGUUUAGGCACAUAAAUUAUGAACCAAUUAUUCCUUCUUGAAAGACGAUGUUUUUCCAGAAAAAUACUACUAUGAGUUCAGAAUUUUAGCAAAACAUGCAAGUUGUCAUUUUGAGAUUAGUUGUUAACUAGCAUUUGAAGGCAUGUUAUAAACAAAGAGACUAAUGGGUAUGUAUUGUGCUUUCAUAUAAAAAUACACAAUAUCACCUGUUGUGCAUGUGGAAUCUAUCUAAAGAUAUAGGUUACCCAUGAUCGAUGUUGAUCCACAAGAAUU